CAUAAAAAAAUUUUUUUUUUGCCUUUUUUUAUUUGUGAAAGAUCGUCUAAUAAAUUAUUGAAUAUGAACAAUUUCCCCAUGAUGGCUUACGUUAUACUGUCAAGCACUCGAAUAGUCGAGCGCGCUGUCCUCUGACAGCUCUUGUUCAUAAUUAUAUAUGCUUUGAUUUUGAAAAUGUUUUAAAAAGAAUGGUGGCCAGGGGGCAUGAUAAUUGCAAUUAUAUGGCUAUAGUGAAAUCUUGUGAACACCCUUGAAGUCACAUUUUGUUUCCCAAACUUAUGAAACUUUUUCAGAACAUUUUUCCUAAUGAUAUCCCAUUCAAAAAUGGUUCUGUAAACAUCACAAACGCUUUUCUGAACAUUUCACUUCCUUCAGGUGUUUGGUGAGCGGCAUAGGGGCUUUUGCCUUUUUGUUUAAGGCACCAUUUGAAUGUGCCCCUUUUUUAAAAGAAUCGAGAGUAAGUUUAUUUUUAUAUUUUAAUUGUUUUCUUUAUGCGUGUUUGGGCAGUUAAUAAGUAUUUGAAGUGCUAGUCAAUUUUUACUUGAUCAGUUAUUACAAAGUUCAUGGGCAUUAUUAAAUUGCUGAUUGUACGGGAUUUUUUAGAUGGUGUGUGUCAGAGUUGUUAGUGACGAAGAACAUAUUGUUGAUGUUUUAUGCCUGUUUUUUAUGCCCCUGAAGGGCGGCAUAUAGUUUUAUGCAACCCCAAAAAAUUUUGAGGGGAGCAUAUAGGCGCCGCUUCGUCUGUCCGUCCUUCCAUGUGUCAGUGCGUGUGCCCGUCCGUGCACAAUUUUGGUCCGGGCUAUUUCUCAGCAACUAAUGGCCGUAAUUCAAUGAAACUUUAUGGAAAGCUUCACUACCAAGAGGAGAUGUGCAUAUUAUCAGCGGUUUCUGGUUGGAUGAUUUUUCACAGAGUUUUGGCCCUUUGAAAUUUUCCAUUAAAUGUACAUAUAGUGCAAUUCUUGUCGCCGCUAUUUCUCACCAACUAAUGACCGAAAUUCAAUGAAACUUUAUGGGAAGCUUCACUACCAAGAGGAGAUGUGCAUAUUAUCAGCGGGUUCUGGUCGGAUGAUUUUCACAGAGUUAUGGCCCUUUGAAAUUUACCAUUAACUGUACAUGUAGUGCAAUUCUUGUUCGGGCAAUUCUCAGCAACUAAUGACCGGAAUUCAAUGAAACUUUAUGGGAAGCUUCAAUACCAAAGUGGAAAUGUGCAUAUUAUCAGCGGGUUAUGGUCGGAUGAUUUUUCACAGAGUUAUGGCCCUUUGAAAUUUAAUAUAAAAAAAAAAUAUUGUCCCCCCAACUACUGUGCCCUCAAGAUGUUUAUCUGAAUAUAUAGUGCAAUAUUGUGACAAAAGAAACCUUUGGGAGCAUCACCCGUCUCCGACUGUUUCUUGUUUUAACUGUCCGUCAGUUGGUCUGUCAGUCUGUCCGUCCGUCCGAAAACUUUCACAUUGAUCAUAACUUUUGCAAUAUUGAAGAUAGCAACUUGAUAUUUGGCAUGCAUGUAUAUCUCAUGGAGCUGCACAUUGUGAGUGGUGAAAGGUCAAUGUUAUCCUUCAUUGUCAAAGGUCAAAUAUAUGACUUCAAAGCGGCGCAGAAGGGGGCAUUGUGUUUCUGACAAACACAUCUCUUGUUAUUCCCUUAUGUUUAGUUUUUAUUUUUGUUAAUAAAAAUGACAAAUUUUUGUUUUGUAAAAACCAGGAUAUAGUAAUUAAACUGUUUAGUGUUAGUUAUUGUAGUUUUUGUAUCCUCUCUCUGUAUUGAUAUAUGUGUCUGGUUCUGACAGUUUAUUUUUGAGGCCUAAACAUUUAUCAUGUUGUCGGAAGAAGACAUUUUGGUUUUCUUUUCCUUUUUUUGAAAAAAAAAUUGACUAAAAUUCAGCAUUUUGUUUAUGUAUAUCAAUAAUUAUCAAUGCUUAUGUACAGUGUUUCAACUUGACAAAAACAAAAAAAUGCUGAAAAGUAUGUUGAUAUAUCAAGCAUAUUUUGUCAAGGUUAUAUCAAAAGCCAUGAUUGCUUACAAUACAAUUAUAUCCCUACAUAUGCUUACACAGCGCUCAAUAUUGGUGCAGUAUAUCAGUACAUAUGUCAAUUUUGACAGCUUGUACAUCUUGUCGAAUUUAAUAUUAAGAGCUGUUAUUUACCCUAUUAAUAACAUAGUGUGCGGACAAAUACUAAAGCAAAUACUUUUGAUCAAUUUUAAGAAGAACACAGUUUAAUCAUCAAUGUCACGCUUUUUGUUGAAUUUUCUUAAAUUUAGGACUUGUUUUUUGGGGUCAAGUUUGGUCAAAGUCUAGGUCACAAGGUAAUAUCUUUAAAAACAACUUAUAAAAUCUGUAAAUGUUGCAUGUUUGACCUUAAUACAGUAAAUUUUAGUCUGAAUGUUUAUAUUGGACAUGUAUGUAAAACUAUGCAUAUGUUUGUGUUUAUAUGAACAUGUUUUGUAUACAAGUCAUUUGACUGGUUUAUGCAAGAAGCAAACUGCUGUUAGAUAAUAUUUUUAUAUUUUUGUAUUAAUUUACGCAUACUGUUUUAUAAAACAUUUGUCCAAGUAUAUGUGUUUAAGAGACGUAUUGGUUGUGUAUGUACUAUUUGGAAAUGGCUUAUAAAUCUUGUUCAGUAUUUGAACAAUCCAAAAACAAUUUUGCAAAGUUUUAGAGUGCUUUUGUUUUUCAGUUUGUUAAAAGAUGUAUUUUAUGAAAUUUGGAAUACCACCUUUCUAUGCACGUGUUUUAUCAAUUUUCCAUGUCAUGCCUACCACACUGCAAUGCGCAUUGAUAUUAUUGGACAAUUUUGCAUAUGCAUAUGUAAUUUUAAUAUAUAUGAUACAUAUUAUUGGUUCAAUGUUUGUAUUCAUUUCAUAUUGCAAUGUCAAUUUGCAUACUUCAUCUGUUAAUAUUCCAUAUUGUUUAUGUAUAUCCAAAGAUGUCACUUUCAUUAAUAAAUGCCAAAUUGAAUAUUGCUCCUAAUGGACAUUGAAUUUAAACAAUCCAUGAUAAAGGAUUGACAGCUGAAAAUAACAAAUUUCACACUAACGGAAAUGCUAAAAUAAUGGCUGGGAAUAUUUUCUUUGUACUGUUGAUACAUUUGAACAAGUAAGUGUGUAAAUUCUAAUUCUAGAUGGAACUUCUUACAUGCAAUAGAAACAGACUUUUCAUGUUAUUGUCUACUUAUUGUAGAAUAAGAGAUACUUAAUGUGAGCUAUUGCUAUCGCCCUAUGUCCAGCAUUGUACUGCUUGUAGUGUGCUUUGUCAACUUUUAACUCGCUGAAAAUUUAGAGGCCACAUUUGUUCAUCAAAUCUUAAUGAAACUUGGUCACAAUGUUUUAUCUAGAAAGUAUCUAGGCUGGGUUCGAAUUUGGGUCACAUGCAUCUAAGAACCAGGUCAGCAGGUUCAAGUAUUAUAUUUUUUUUUUAAACUUGUUACCCCUCUAGAGCGCAAAUUUAAGAGUAAACCUUGAUGAAACUUGGUUAAAAUAUAUAAAUGGACACGCUCUAAGCAAAGUUGUAAUGUAAGUGAUGUACCUCAAAACAUGAGUUCAUCAGAUCAAUCCUAAGAAAAACCGUGUUACCUCUCUAGAGGCCAAACAUAUGGCUAAAUAUUGAAGAAACUUGGUCAUAAUGUAUAUUAACAUAUGGUUAAAUAUUGAAGAAACUUGGUCAUAAUGUAUAUUAACAUAUGGCUAAAUAUUUAAGAAACUUGGUCAUAAUGUAUAUUAACAUAUGGCUAAAUAUUGAUGAAACUUGGUCAUAAUGUAUAUUAACAUAUGGCUAAAUAUUGAUGAAACUUGGUCAUAAUAUAUAUUAACAUAUGGCUAAAUAUUGAUGAAACUUGAUCAUAAUGUAUAUUUGUACAAUAUCUAGACUGCUUUUUAAAUCUUAUUCAUGUCUGUCUAGAAACUAUUUAAUAAGGUCCUGUCUAAAAGAAGCCCUUAUUCGUUUCUUGAGGCCACAUUUAUGACUCAGUCUCAGAUAAACGUGUUAAUAGUGUUUAUCAUAACAGUAUCUAGGGUAAAUCUUGGUUGUGUGUAUUCAUAAACUAGGUAACCAGGUCAAAUCUUGGAAAAUAUUGUAACCACACAGAGGCCACAUUUUUGUCUUAAUCAUGAUGAAAUGUGGUCAGAAUGUGUAUUUGAAAAAAAUAUCAAUUGCAAGUUCAAAUUUUGGCCAAGUUUUUCCAAAAACUAGUUCAAGUUAAAAAAAAUACAUUGUUACCACAGCAGAGGCCACAUUUUUACUUAAUUUUUAUGAAACUUUGCCAAAAUGUUUGUUUAAAUAUGAAGGUCAUGUUUGAAUCUGGGUCAAAUGGAGUCAUAAACUAGAUCAAGUCAAGUCUUCAACAGUUGGUGUCUGUUAACUAAGGUGAGCGCUAAGGGCUAUCACGACUCUCUUGUUUCCAAACUAAUGGCACUUAACAUUGCUAUGAUUGAAGUUGUUUUAUCAAUUAUGUUAAAGUAGUAAUCCAAAUUUAUAUACUUUGUUUAUUUUAGAAUAUGUACACAUAAUGGCCAUCAGUAUUUUUAUUCCCCCGGAUCAAAUGAUCCGGGGUUUACUGUUUUUGGCCUGUCUGUCUGUCUGUCAUUGUAUGUGUCUGUCUGUCAUUGUAUGUGUCCCAAAACUCUAACCUUGGUCAUAACUUUUGCAAUAUUGAUGAUAGCAACUUUAUAUUUGGCAUGCAUGUGUAUCUCAUGGAGCUGCACAUUUUGAGUGGUGAAAGGUCAAGGUCAUCGUUCAAGGUCAAAGGUAAAAAAAAUCAAAGCGGUGCAUUAGGGGGCAUUGUGUUUCUGAUAAACACAUUUCUUGUUUUGUAUUAUGCUAUGUAUAUAGUUAUUUUGUAACACGAUGUAAAUACUAGUUUAAAUUAUUUCAAGUGUAAUGCUUUAUCUUGAGAAGAAGAUUAAAUGUAGUUUCAAAGAA